rnacentral:tRNA from 1 species
GCCCAGAUGGCGGAAUUGGUAGACGCGCUGCGUUCAGGUCGCAGUGGCCUUACGGCCGUGGAGGUUCGAGUCCUCUUCUGGGCACCA